UCUUAACAAGGUUUCAGUAGGUGAACCAGCGGAGGGAUCAUU
rnacentral:rRNA from 1 species